rnacentral:rRNA from 1 species
GAUGAACGCUAGCGGCAGGCUUAAUACAUGCAAGUCGAGGGGCAGCAGGACUGUAGCAAUACAGUUGCUGGCGACCGGCAAACGGGUGCGGAACACGUACGCAACCUUCCUUUAAGUGAGGGAUAGCCCAGGGAAACUUGGAUUAAUACCUCGUAAUAUUUGAGAGUGGCAUCACUUUCUAAUUAUAGCUCCGGUGCUUAAAGAUGGGCGUGCGACUGAUUAGGUAGUUGGCGGGGUAACGGCCCACCAAGCCUGCGAUCAGUAACUGGUGUGAGAGCACGACCAGUCACACGGGCACUGCGACACGGGCCCGACUCCUACGGGAGGCAGCAGUAAGGAAUAUUGGUCAAUGGACGCAAGUCUGAACCAGCCAUGCCGCGUGGAGGAUGAAGGUCCUCUGGAUUGUAAACUUCUUUUAUCUGGGAAGAAACCCAUAUUUUCUAGUGUGGUUGACGGUACCAGAUGAAUAAGCACCGGCUAACUCCGUGCCAGCAGCCGCCGUAACAC